rnacentral:rRNA from 1 species
UACGUGGGGGGCAAGCGUUGUUCGGAAUUACUGGGCGUAAAGGGCUCGUAGGCGGCCAACUAAGUCGGAUGUGAAAUCCCCAGGCUUAACCUGGGAACUGCAUCCGAUACUGGAUGGCUUGAAUCCGGGAGAGGGAUGCAGAAUUCCAGGUGUAGCGGUGAAAUGCGUAGAUAUCUGGAGGAAUACCGGUGGCGAAGGCGGCAUCCUGGACCGGCAUUGACGCUGAGGAGCGAAAGCUAGGGGAGCAAACGGG